rnacentral:tRNA from 1 species
AAUUAAUUCCACAGGGUGGAACAUGUCUUGAAAACGUGUCUCAAGAGUUCAACUCUCUUAUUAAUUU